GUACACAAAAAUGCACAUGCUGUGAGCUCGAUGAGUAGGGCGGGACACGUGGUAUCCUGUCUGAAUAUGGGGGGACCAUCCUCCAAGGCUAAAUACUCCUGACUGACCGAUAGUGAACCAGUACCGUGAGGGAAAGGCGAAAAGAACCCCGGCGAGGGGAGUGAAAAAGAACCUGAAACCGUGUACGUACAAGCAGUGGGAGCCUCUUUAUGGGGUGACUGCGUACCUUUUGUAUAAUGGGUCAGCGACUUAUAUUCUGUAGCAAGGUUAACCGAAUAGGGGAGCCGAAGGGAAACCGAGUCUUAACUGGGCGUUAAGUUGCAGGGUAUAGACCCGAAACCCGGUGAUCUAGCCAUGGGCAGGUUGAAGGUUGGGUAACACUAACUGGAGGACCGAACCGACUAAUGUUGAAAAAUUAGCGGAUGACUUGUGGCUGGGGGUGAAAGGCCAAUCAAACCGGGAGAUAGCUGGUUCUCCCCGAAAGCUAUUUAGGUAGCGCCUCGUGAAUUCAUCUCCGGGGGUAGAGCACUGUUUCGGCAAGGGGGUCAUCCCGACUUACCAACCCGAUGCAAACUGCGAAUACCGGAGAAUGUUAUCACGGGAGACACACGGCGGGUGCUAACGUCCGUCGUGAAGAGGGAAACAACCCAGACCGCCAGCUAAGGUCCCAAAGUCAUGGUUAAGUGGGAAACGAUGUGGGAAGGCCCAGACAGCCAGGAUGUUGGCUUAGAAGCAGCCAUCAUUUAAAGAAAGCGUAAUAGCUCACUGGUCGAGUCGGCCUGCGCGGAAGAUGUAACGGGGCUAAACCAUG
rnacentral:rRNA from 1 species